UGGUUGCAGCCCAGUGGCUCCUGGUCACUUUCUGCCCCCACUUCCUGCCCUUUGCAAGGUGGAUGAUGGCCUCCAGUGCUCCGUUGGCUUUGUCCUCACCACAGGAAAGCACAGAAGAGUUUGAACUUUGCCUCAUCUAGGCUCUCAUUCCCAUGGGAGAGCCGGCCUUGCUGCACUCGCUGUACACAAUGCUGCUCCUUGCCGGCUCCUGAGCGUGGAGACACAAGAAUGGAGCGCCGUCCUCUGGGACAGGUGACAUUGGGCGGAGGUGGCGCCCGGAGGGCUGCAGCCACCUGCUACAGCCUCCCUGGUGCUUUCAGAGACGUGGGCUGCUGGGUUACAAAGGGCUGUCAGAUCAAGUUCAAACAAAACACCUGGCCCGGCCUGACCUGCUCAGAAAAUCAAUAGCGGCACCGGCUGUGAAAUGAGAGCAUAGACGGAUUACCGCCUCUCCGCGAACCCUCAUCGCACUGCCGCUGUAUUUGGAAGCAGAUCCUGGAAGGUGAAAAUCGAAAGCCCGAGACUGGCUCAGCAGCUGAAAUGACUGCUUCCUCUUGCAGAGGACCUGAGUUUGGGAUUCCCAGCACCCACUCUGGGCAGCUCACAGCUUUCUCUCUACAGCAUUCAGAAAGCAAGUCAACUAAACACAAUGGGAUCCAGCCUGAGGUUGAAUUGAAACUGGACUCCACGAAGGCCGAGCUUUUAAUGGCUCUUGAUGUGAUCUCACCUGCAGAGAGCAGACGCAGAGGUUGUUCUGGGGCUCUGCAGACUUCUCUGUCCUCAAAGCAACAAUCUCUGCGUCCCCAGACGGAGGGCUCCAGUCGCAGCUGUUGAGAAAGCAAGUGCCCGGCAGCUGGUUCUUGGGAAUCAAUAAACACAAUGUCAUUUAA